UAUUAUGUUAGUGAACACCUGACUGAUAGAAAGGACUUGAGGAAAGAGAGCUCCUAUGAGGAUUUUUAUUUCUAUCACUAUCAUCAUCACUAUCACCCCCUUCCGCAUGAAGGACAGUGUUCUAACUGCCAGUCCCAGUUAUUCCCAGCUGAAUCUACAAAUUUAAAUUCUCGAUUUUCUAAUUUUCCAGUUCUCAUCAGAAUAUGCCACCCACAUCUGUAUGUCCUGGGCCUGUGUGGGACAUGGAAAGGCAGGAGCGUAUGAGUUUCUGAAGUCAGAAAGAACUGGGUUGAGUCCCAUAAACUUGGAAAAUAGGGGUCUAUUAAAAGAGAGAGCAAGAGCGAGUGAUGAGAGUACUGAUGUCUGAAGAAAAGAAUAGAAAAAUAGAAGGAGGAUAUGCAUAAAAGAAGAGAACUGAGUCCAUCAAAACUGGACCCAGAGAAAAGUCAAUGCAAGUGAAGUCUGGGGAGGGAAAUUGGAGGAACGAGAGCCUGAUAUGAUAGUGCUUUUGCUCACCGGACUGCUAACGACCUCUCUGUGGAUGUAGGAGGCAGACCCAGAGGCAAAGGAGAACCAAAGAUUAUUUUGUCACAGUCAACUCUCUCAAGUCUAGUUAGAAGAUGUACUGGAUUUGGAGUUCCAGUUCUUGCAUAUGGAUUCCAACAUGACCCAGUUCUUUCCAGGGCUUGCCUGCCAAGGCUGGGAAGGGUGGAGUGAGGAAGAAGACUUGAAGACAUACUUUGGAGAGAGACAGAGAGACACAGAAACUCAACAAAAUUUCAAGUAGAGCAGCUCCUUCUACCUCUUAAGAAUCAAGAUUGCUUCCAUAUAUGUUGUUAUCUUACUUGCUCUACAGCAUUUGGGACAUUUCCAGCUGAAAGAGACCCAAAGAUCCAUCCACCAGGUGUGCAGGGGAACAAACAUGACAGCCAGAGACACUGUGACUUGCUUAGACAAUAUCACAGCCAAAAUCUUCUGACUAGAGCAACACAGAGACCACAUUAAGUCUUUCUGUGAAAAUAAACG